rnacentral:lncRNA from 1 species
ACAUUUUCAGAUGCUGGCAAAAUCCUUAUAACAGUAUACACACUAAUGACUCAUGUAUGCUUUCAUUGAUUCAAUAUUGACUUUAAUUGAUUGACUGUUGACCAGGGUCCGCUGGGAUACAGAGGAGAACCAGGGACUAAGGGGGAGAUGGGCGAGGAGGGUUUGGUUGGCGGGAAAGGACCAAAAGGAGACGUUGGUGAACCUGGCGAGAAGGUGUGUGUGUGUGUGUGUGUGUGUGUGUGUGUGUGUGUGUGUGUGUGUGUGUGUGUGUGUGUGUGUGUGUGUGUGUGUGUGUGUGUGUGUGUGUGUGUGUGUGUGUGUGUGUGUGUGUGAAACAACCAGCUACACCUGUCAAUCACUCAUGUUUUCGUGAAUAAAGCAACUUUACAAAUUGACCAUCAAUCAAAUAGAAAACAAAAACACAUGAGCGGAUUGAAUAUAAAUCUGAGCCAGGCCCUCCCACUAGCUCAAAAAAUCUGUAUCAGAUAAAUAGGAUGACAUGACAUCUCAUGAAAGUCGCUCUCCAUUACAACAGCACCUUGGCUGUACUGCCCCCUAGUGGUCAAUAUGGG